GCCCAACAGAAGACGAGCUCUCGUCCAUGGCAAAGAGAAAGAUGCAGAAAGAAUGGUGUGCGUACAGAGCAUGGGACGGUCGCAGCCGGGUACCCAAGGUGCCGGCGCUACUGGCUGACAAAGCCGCGCUAUGCUGCACAUGAGGAGGAUUGGAGGAACACCCAAUCAAUCGGAGGGCGGGUGGGCUGAGCAGCCGGACGGCGCUGCCAUGGGGGCAAGCGGUGAGCACGUGACAUGUAUCUGCCACUGCUGGCGAACGCUCCCGGCGCUGGAGACGGCCGUUCUUUUCCGCAGGUACGUGAAACCCAGCUGCAUACACAACCUAUCCCUCCAACCUCGCCCCAUCUCUGUUGUGCUUCCUCGGUGGAACUCAGACCGUGGCAUGCCAUUCCUAUCGCCGUCGUCACACCGAUGGCCCGGGCGGGAUCCGCCAUCCCCACGGCCGGGCCCCUCCUCGGUGGGCGCCCCUCCCUCAUCGCCGCCAACAACAGCGGAAGGUGCCGUGUCUGCACCGAGUGCCACGCCGUUUCCGACGUGGCGGAGCACAGCCACACGGCCAGGGCGCUCGGACUCCGCCCGCUCUUCGGCGCACCCUCCGGCUCAACCUGCGCGGUAGGCGGCUCCGGCGCAACGGCCCCCCACGGAGUCGUCGUCGGGCGCUCGACCCGGGCGUCAACCCCGUGGACCACGCGGGAGCAGGAUCCGCGGUCAGACCGUCCUCGCCGGGCGCCCGUUCGUGGCACAUGGCCACGUUGCGGCCAGCCACAGCGGACGCCCUCGUCUCUCCAAGGAGUGCCACAACGUCGCCGACGCGGCAGGGCACGGCCUGGACGCUCGGGCUUGGGCUACCCCCGCUCCUUGGCGGCUCCACCUCUGUCGCGACGGGCAACUAUGUUUUGUCUCUAAUGCAUGUUUGGCUAAAACCCUUCUAUUUUUUGCAGAGCUCUCACAAAUCAGUCAACCUACGAAGUGGCCAGAUGGAAGGGGCUAUUCUACUUGAGGUAUGUGCUAUCAAGAACAACGCAGGCUCCAGUGUGCUCUGAUUUUAUGAUUCUUCACUACUAUAUUGUUAGACUUGGUACUGGAGCUGUACCACUUGCAGGGUAAUUCUGGACAAAGCUCAUCCAUUCAGUAAAUGCAUAUAUAGAAACAUCUGUGACUUCUGCCUCACUAUGGAAUGAAGUUGCUCCGGAAGUCAUGUGAGGCUAGAGAUAUAGUUUACUGUCCUAUGAUUUCAGCAAUAUACGACUGGAAGUAGGUUCCUGUGAUUGAAACUGUACAGGGUGAUUUCUCACGCUUCUGUAUGAAUGUGAAUUCGAGCUGUGAUUGUAUGUCGCAGUCUACAGUUUUGCUCCUCUCUUUUCAUAGCCAAGCACAGUUUGCUCUUUUAAGCCAUUUGUGUUUGCAUCGCCAUUCAGAUUUUCUGUGAACUCAAUACCCUCCAAUUUCUCAUUCUUCUACUGUUCCGUUGUGCAAUAACCUUUCAAUCUAUGUAUUGCUUUAUGAAUUAGCAAAAAAAAAAAAACUCUGGCUAGAGAAAGCUGCACGUAUAAUGAUGCAUAUAGUUAGUCAUGGCAAAAAAUAUAUAUUUAGUUGCCACUGUAUUGUUACAUGUGAACCGCAACAAAACAGAUACUGCAAACAAGAACAAAUUCACACCUCUUCUGCUGGUGUUCUAUCACAUAUCAACGGUGAACACUAGGAUCGAUUGCGUUUGUUAUAUGAUAUGUAAUGUAAGCAGGCUUAUACAAUUUGUGUGUUUCUGUUGAUGUAGCUUACCUUGACAGGGGAGGAAAGCAUGACGGCCGUCUUUGUCAGGCUCACUGUGCAGAAGCUCUUGAUGAAGCACAAAACGUCCCAUGUCGAACCGCGGGCCGACAUGGUGUGAGAAUUGCAGUUAGCUGAAAAAUGGGGAUUAGACACAUGGAGAUGUAGCACUUGGGUGAGUAGGUACCUGCACGGCUUGUGAAUGGUCUGAAAUCUGAACCGUGAACCUCUCAUGGGGACUUGCCGCGCCUAGCUAGCUCUGAUCGCCGCCACUCCCCAAUGGUGAGCAUGUCGGAGAUCCCGCCACCACCACGCCCUACCUUGCCGCUUCCUCUUCUCCUCCGGCUUUGGCGGCCUCACUUGCAAGCGAGGAGCACUCGAUUGCUUCUUCUCCUCUGCCUCACGCGGCCUCGCUUCCUCCUAUUCUUCUGAGCUCAUGACAUUGUCUGCCGGCUUCUCCCUCUCUAAGCCACCCUCUACCUCGAGACAACCACGUACCUCGCCGAGGCGUGCUGCGCAGGUGAGGACCACUCAAUUCCUACUCCGGGCUGAGAGGAGACGCAGGAGCCACGGCGAGGGGCGGCGUUGAGCCGGCAAUGCAAGGAACAAAUGAACUAGGGAGAACGGGGAAUGGUGGAGGUGGGGAAUAGGCAGGGAGAUUCGAGAAGCUACACAGAUUCGGGAAUAGUGGAUCUCAGUCCACAGCCACACCACCGCUCGGUGCAGUCCAAGUGCAGCUAGCUAGGCACACACCAUGAGAAGAUGUGCGGUCAGGACUGUGCCGCGUGCGGGAGGGUCUGACCGAACGUCAGCGCAAUAGCGUCAGUUUUUUUUUAUUUUUUUUGCAAUAUAUAGAGCAUGCGGAAAAAAGGUAAGAUAAUCUAGAGCACAAAAGAACGAGAAC
rnacentral:rRNA from 1 species